CCUACGGGCGGCAGCAGUAGGGAAUAUUGCUCAAUGGGGGAAACCCUGAAGCAGCAACGCCGCGUGGAGGAUGAAGGUUUUAGGAUUGUAAACUCCUUUUGUUAGAGAAGUUUAUGACGGUAUCUAACGAAUAAGCACCGGCUAACUCCGUGCAAGCAGCCGCGGUAAUACGGAGGGUGCAAGCGUUACUCGGAAUCACUGGGCGUAAAGAGUGCGUAGGCGGGGUAAUAAGUCAGAUGUGAAAUCCUGUAGCUUAACUACAGAACUGCAUUUGAAACUGUUACUCUGGAGUGUGGGAGAGGUAGGUGGAAUUCUUGGUGUAGGGGUAAAAUGCGUAGAGAUCAAGAGGAAUACUCAUUGCGAAGGCGACCUGCUGGAACAUUACUGACGCUGAUGCACGAAAGCGUGGGGAGCAAACAGGAUUAGAUACCCUUGUAGUC
rnacentral:rRNA from 1 species